AGGCAGCAGCCAACUCGCACCGACCGACCGCCCGACCGCCUCACUCUCCAACCGAGUGGCGUUCGCCUCACUGCAGCACCUAGUCCAAUCUUGGCUGAUAAUUGCAGCACAUCCUCUGCACUCCACCGGACCCAGCAGCAGCAGUGAAACAUCUUUCGGUGCAGAGUUAAGUAACAUGAUGAGACUCGCGUGACUGCGGCUCUUCUACCCGCCCCACCCCCAAUAGGACACAUGCACCCUCAGUAAGAUAACCCUGGCAACGCAGAUGGCUGGCGGGGCGAAGUUGGAGCGGCGGAUGGGAUAUGCAGCCGUGUGGCUGGCGCUGUGGCCGCUGCUGGCGUCAGGCGCGGCGCCGCACUUCGAGUACGGCAGCACCGGCGGCGGCGACAACAACGGCGACCCCCUGGUGGUGACGACGACCAAAGGCAAGGUGCGCGGCAUCACCCUGAACUCGAGCACAGGCAAGAGCGUGGACGCCUGGCUGGGCAUCCCCUACGCGCAGAAGCCGGUGGGCAACCUCCGCUUCCGGCAUCCGCGGCCCAUCGAGCGCUGGGACCGCGACGGCUACGUCCUCACCACGGACAAGAUGCCCAACAGCUGCGUCCAGAUCGUCGACACCAUGUUCGGCGACUUUGCCGGCUCGGCCGUGUGGAACCCCAACACGCAGCUCAGCGAGGAUUGCCUCUACAUCAACGUCGUCGUGCCGAGGCCGAGACCUAAAAACGCCGCCGUCAUGGUGUGGGUCUACGGCGGCGGCUUCUACUCAGGCACCUCCACCCUGGACGUGUACGACCACAAAAUUAUGGUGUCCGAGGAGAACGUAAUCCUGGUGAGCAUGCAGUACCGAGUGGCCUCGCUGGGCUUCCUCUUCUUCGACAGCGCCGACGUGCCCGGCAACGCCGGCCUCUUCGACCAGCUGAUGGCAUUGCAGUGGGUCAAGGACAACAUCCGCAACUUCGGCGGCAACCCGGACAACAUCACGCUGUUCGGCGAGUCGGCCGGCGCCGUGUCGGUCAGCCUGCAUUUGCUGAGUCCGCUGAGCCGGCCGCUGUUCAACCAGGCCAUCAUGCAGAGCGGCUCGCCGACCGCGCCCUGGGCCAUCAUCAACCGCGAGGAGAGCGUGCUGCGCGGCCUCCGGCUGGCCGAGGCCGUCGGCUGCCCGCACUCGAAGAGCAACGUGCAGGCCACGGUUGAGUGUCUGCGCACGGUUAACGCCACCGACCUGGUCAUCAACGAGUGGGGCACCAUGGGCAUCUGCGAGUUCCCCUUCGUGCCCAUCAUCGACGGCUCCUUCCUCGACGAGAUCCCGGCCCGCUCGCUGGCCAAUAAGAAUUUUAAAAAGACCAACAUCCUCAUGGGCAGCAACACCGAGGAGGGCUACUACUUCAUCAUUUACUACUUGACCGAGCUCUUCCGGAAAGAGGAAAACAUUUACGUCAACAGGGACGAAUUUCUCAAGGCGGUGCGCGAGCUGAACCCCUACGUGAACAACAUCGCCCGACAGGCCAUCGUGUUCGAGUACACCGACUGGCUGAACCCUGAGGACCCUGUGAAGAACCGCGACGCACUCGACAAGAUGGUCGGCGACUACCACUUCACGUGCAACGUCAACGAGAUGGCACACCGCUAUGCAGAGACAGGAAACAACGUGUACAUGUACUACUUCCAGUACCGGUCGCUCGGCAAUCCGUGGCCCAGCUGGACGGGCGUGAUGCACGGGGAUGAGAUCAGCUACGUCUUCGGCGAGCCACUCAACCCGUCAAAGAAGUACCAGCCGCAGGAGAUCGAGCUCAGCCGGCGCGUGAUGAGAUACUGGGCCAACUUUGCAAAAACAGGGAAUCCGUCGUUAUCUGAAGACGGCACAUGGACCACCACGUACUGGCCCUUGCACACGCCCUACGGCAGGGAGUACCUCACGCUCGACGUGAACUCAACCGCCACAGGCCGAGGGCCGCGCCUCAAACAGUGUGCCUUCUGGAAAAAGUAUUUGCCGCAGCUCAUUAGUGUCACAUCCAAUUUGCCUGAAAAGGAUGACGCGGACUGCUCGCCCGGCGUUAGGAAGAAAUGCUGCAACGCUGCCUCACCGACCAAUAUUAACAAUAAUCAAGCAAUGUUUGGUGUCCUACUAGUAAUGAUAAUCCUACGGAUUCAGAGUGCGCCUGUGUAAAACUGCAAAUCCCCCGAGCAAACGGACACAUAACUAUAUUAGAGCGCGAUGACCCGUUCUUCCACUGUGGUGGACGCGCAGGAAUCAAGGCAUCACGCGAGACACAACACAAAAUGAAUCAACCCCCCGGAGAAAUCGUUAAUCAAGAGAAAAAUGGCAAAAUAAUAUACCUACGGUAGUGAAACACUCUCGUGAAGAAGUAUAUUUAAUUGUGACACAGUUUAAGAGAAAAAAGUGUAAUCAAAGAUAUUAUAUUUAACAAAUUCUAUUGAACAAUGAGAGAGAGGAUGAAAUUUAUAUUUGAAACUGCUGCCGCCGCUGCUGGAGCAAGCCCCGGUGGAGCGAGAAGAUAGAUCAACAGUGGCGCAUUACCAGUGUUAGAUGUGCUUUUUAUAUUGGAUUCGUCCCCGUACCUCCCGAAACCCAGUGAACAAAGACAGAAUCUGUAGAAGGGAAGAGUGUUAUUUUGACGGCUGUAAUGAAGACUGACAUUAAGUGCAGCGCAUCAGUUGUUCUAAAUUUUAGAAAAUGCUUUGCAUAGUUGAUGUCAACUGGCAGGAAGGAAAUCAUUGGUUUCAAGGAUCGUGGAAGGAGAUGAAUGAGAUAGGAGUUCGAGGUGGACACUUGGUAAGAGGCUGCACAAUUCCAACUUAGAACGCGCCAUUCACGCAUUUGGUCAAAAGCUCAGUCAAGUAAAUUAAAAAAUAUGUAGCAACACUCUUCAGAUUUUGACACAAAACUAAUUAAACAGAGAAUGCUUUUUGUCGUUGCUGUCUUCGGGAAUAAGAGAAACCAAAACGGUACCAGGCUUUAAAUCUCUAUUGUUUUGAUAUCUCUCUCACAAUACAAACUGUUAUUUUGAACAAUUUCGGAAACAAAUAAUCUAUUUUGCAAAAUUUCUUAGCAUCGCAGCUUUUGCACUUUUGCUUGUCGUUUAAAUCGACGUCCUGCGUGACGGUUUAAAGUGCAGCUAGAAAGAUCUCGUACUUAUCAAUUCUUGUCUUUCGAUUGUUCUUUUCGAUUUCGCAAUCGGCUAUCUUGAGGUUCGUUUGGGGUGCAGACAGAAGGAAGACGGAAACAGAUUGGGUUAGGCCAUCGGUUACGAACAUUUUCCAAAUUUUUCGUGAACGCAAUGAUUGUUUGACUACAGACACAGCCAGCACUCGUACACUUUUAUUAUUCAUAAAUAGAACUAAAAACUAUAAUGGUGGGAGUGGGAGUGUUCAUUCACCAGUUGCACGACAAAUCCAGCGCUCAUGUUCUGUAUAUUUGUUUUCUUAAUUAAUACGAAAUACGAAACAAUCGGGAAAAUUCGUUCUACACUUGGUUCGCUUCCUGGAUAUCAUUUUUUUACCUUAGUGGGGGGAAAAAUGGUGCUGCAAACUGGGUUCUUGUUGUGAAACUGGUGGUGAAAAAUACAUCAUGCCUUGUAUUAUCUAAAACACCGCUGCAUAUCAGAAAUAAAACAUAUCCUAUUAAGUAUAAUAGUAAGAGUGUAACAAUUAAGAAAAUGAAAGAAGUUGUUCUAUAAUUAAAACGAUUCUCAAUUACGUAUAAUUAAUAAUUAGCAGACAAAUUCACACACAUAAAUGCAAAUAAAACGAAGAAGAAAGAACUCGAGCACAACAGACAAGAAAGAAAGAAAGAAAUGUUUAAAGCGAAAGUAACCCUCUCUCGAACGCUCUCUUUUCUCAUCUCUUUAAAUGAAAAGAAUGGCUCACUCACUCGAUGUCACACUCUUUUGCUUUCAUUGCCGUUUUGCAUGAUUUCCGAUCGUUACAAAGACUACUUCGCCGACUCCUUCCGUGAGUUUUUCCGUUUUGUUUCGUGUUAUCAGGAUUCUCAACAACACAAAGUACGGACGCUAUACGGGUUGUAAAAAAAACACACACUUUGCAGAACGACAGAGGCGCGUUUUCCCAAAUACAUUUGGUCUUUUCAUAGACAAACUCACACAUUAUUACACACUCAGUCAGUCAGUGAGAGCACAAAAGAAGCAGACCAUCCACGCUCUAUAAAUAAAUUUCACCAUGAGAUAAAAAAAAAUCGGAUCGAAACCCAACCAGCCGAGGAAAAAUUUCGUUUUUGACUCUCUGCCAAUCAAUUCCUGAGGUUAGUCGAAAGUCGAGAGAAUCGUAAAAACUGUUACUUUUGGUCUAAAUCUAGCAAACAAGAAAGACAAAGACCAAUCAAAGAAGGUAAGAUCGAGACAGCAGCGCCACAGUCCAGCCGGUAGAAGGCAGAAGUCUAGUUGCUGUUAGCUUACCUGCCUUGUCGUUGUGGCGCUGCUGUCUCGAUCUUAGACCAGCAGAGAAUCGCUCCCUUCUCUCUGAUUGGUCGGUGGCGUUCUUGUGGCACUUUUUGCUAGAUUAAACCGCCAAAGAACGUUUCUGCCGCUUUCCGGCAGCUCCUAUGAACAUGCUACUGUUAAAAAUGAAAUUCCAGUGCUCCUAUUUCAGUCUCAACUGAGAUUUGAUUUUUUUUAAUUUCAUGGUAAAAACUAUUUUUUGAGCAAUUCGUUGUGAUCUCGCUCGGAAAACUGUUAACAGAACGCUGUAAAUUCAAUUGCUUACCGAAUUUUGUUCUCGCGUGUUGUGAUAACAUAAUUUAAGGGACGAAAGUUGAACGACUGCAUUUUUUAGUUAUCAGCCGGUUCUUUCUUUAGAAAUGUCUCGCGACUUCCUUCUCUUCCAUUCCUGAUCCUCGAACUUUUCUAUCGAUUUAAAAGCAUUUUACACGGCACCCACGCAUUCUUCUUAUUUUGGUAAAGACGAAGAAUGAAAAUAUCGAACACUCUAAGACCUCUACCUGCAUCAAAUCGCUUGUACGUGUAAAAAGAAAAAGCGACCUGCUAAAAUUGAAACUCACACGCAGACACACAACACACAAACACACACACUCACACACUAUGGCUCUAGGAUUAGACAAUUCUUGUAUAGGCCUAUUAUGAAAUUGUAAGAAUUACGUAUGCUACACAAGAGCCCAACGGAUUCACGCAAAAAAUGAGGAAAAAAUAAAAUAAAUGAUCAAUCGACGGGACAAUUCUUUCGCGGCGGGUGCAAAUCGAUUCGGGGCAGGAAAGAGUGAGAUCGAAUCAGUUGGCAAAUAAUUAGUUUCCGUCCUGUGCCGGGUCGGUUGCCCGCCUCGAGAUCAUCAGUGUUGUGUACAUACAAGAAUGAUGAUGUAAUAUAAAAAAUAUUAACUAUAGCCUGUUUGUAUUGAAAUCACUAUAUAGUGCAAUUGUUGGUUAUAAGCAUAAUUAAUAACUUAAACGGCAACAACAAGAGCAACAACAAGAUUAUUAUCAUUAACUGAGGGAUGAUGAAAAUGAAGAAAUGGCAAAAACUCACUUACACACAAACACACACACACACACACACACACACACUCAUUCACACACACACACGCAAAUAUACUGAUCGCGAAAACAAUGCUAUAAGAUACAAAAAAUCUAUUUGAUUUGUUCAAAGAGAAAAUCGAGUUAUUAUGGAAUAAAGUAAAUAUAAAAUAGAGCAGAAAAAUCUAUCUCUCACUCACUCUCUCUCAAUUUUAAAUAAAAGCGACAAAAAACUAUCUGACAAAAAACAAAUAUAAAAAGUAUAUAAUUUAAGGCCUAUAUUGAGGAGGUUUUAUCAUUCUCAAGAUUAUAUUGACUCACUUUAGUAGUUUUAUCAUCAUUACAUGAGCUUCGAUUGAGAUUAUAAUUAGCAAAAUUUUAAAUUAAUCCCUAAUAGAAUUGGUGUUCUAUUGAAAAACCUGAUCAAUGAGUGAAAAUUCAGUAUGAGAAAAGUGUUGUUUGUUAACUUCAUUAUUUAAUGAAAAUUACACAUAGCUCACACACACACACACAAACACACACUAACUGAUCAAAACUUAAGGACACACACACACAAACACACACCGCCUAUCGCUUUUUGGAAUGUAUGUUAUUUUUCGUUUGUGGAUAAUUUCUUAAAUAUAAUCGGAUCUGGGACGUUUUUAAAAGCUAAUCUUACGAUAAUAAUAAUAUUAAAAUUAACACGGAAAACGGUAUGUUAUGGACAACAUUAUUCAAACCUUUGUUGCUGUUUGUGUUUUAAGGCUCAAACUAUUUUUUAGAGAAGAGUGUAAGCGGCUAGGAAAAUACCAAGAUAUGAUUCAAUUGCUGUAUUGAUAUAUAAUGUACUAUAUUGGAUUAUCGAUUUUGUUAAACUGUUACUUCGAUAUGGUACGCUCAGUCAUGUUUGUUUACAAUAAAUAUUUCGCUACUAAAGAA